GACGAACGCUGGCGGCGUGCUUAACACAUGCAAGUCGAGCGGUAAGGCCCUUUCGGGGGUACACGAGCGGCGAACGGGUGAGUAACACGUGGGUGACCUGCCCUCAGCUCUGGGAUAAGCCUGGGAAACCGGGUCUAAUACUGGAUAUGACUCCAUGACGCAUGUUGUGGGGUGGAAAGCCUUGUGCGGCUGAGGAUGGGGCCCGCGGCCUAUCAGCUUGUUGGUGGGGUGAGGCCUACCAAGGCGACGA
rnacentral:rRNA from 1 species